rnacentral:rRNA from 1 species
AUUGAACGCUGGCGGCAUGCCUUACACAUGCAAGUCGAACGGGAGCAUAGGAGCUUGCUCCUGAUGGCGAGUGGCGAACGGGUGAGUAAUAUAUCGGAACGUGCCCUAGAGUGGGGGAUAACUAGUCGAAGGACUAGCUAAUACCGCAUACGAUCUACGGAUGAAAGUGGGGGAUCGCAAGACCUCAUGCUCCUGGAGCGGCCGAUAUCUGAUUAGCUAGUUGGUGGGGUAAAAGCCUACCAAGGCAACGAUCAGUAGCUGGUCUGAGAGGACGACCAGCCACACUGGGACUGAGACACGGCCCAGACUCCUACGGGAGGCAGCAGUGGGGAAUUUUGGACAAUGGGGGCAACCCUGAUCCAGCAAUGCCGCGUGAGUGAAGAAGGCCUUCGGGUUGUAAAGCUCUUUUGUCAGGGAAGAAACGGUAGUAGCGAAUAACUAUUACUAAUGACGGUACCUGAAGAAUAAGCACCGGCUAACUACGUGCCAGCAGCCGCCGUAA